CCUUAAUUGGCAAAUAAUUAAUUAAUUAUUAAUUGAUAAAACAGUUUCCCUUUCGUAUUUAAUGGUAAUUUUUGUAUGGCCAACUAGAGCACAAUAGCUUAUUUUCUGGUUUUUUUUCCUUUUUCUCUCUCUCUCUCUGUUUCUUCUUUCUUUUCCUGUUUUUAUUACAUCAGCCUACUCACAUACGCGCCUUCUCAUUCUUGAACUGUCUAUUAGCAAUAUUUCAAAAAAUUGAAGGUGUAUUUCUUUCUGUCUCUCUGUUCAAAAUAAUUCAAAUUAAUUUUCUACGAUUUCAGGUAGGACUAAUUUGAAAAUGGAAAAUUUGGAACCUGAUGAAUCAGAGGUAGAGAUUCUUCCCAAUGCAAAUCAAACUGAUUGUCCCAUAUGCAUUAACUGUUACAUAAGAAGAAAUCCAAGAAUUUUACCUUGCGCUCAUACUUUUUGCUCCGUUUGCUUAGAACAAUAUGCCUUGUCAAAAAGAGUAGGAGUAGGAGAUACAUUGGCAUGUCCAACGUGUGAAACUCAUGUCAAAUGGCCUAGUAAAGGCAGUUUAGGAUUCCCGAAAAACAACUACUUUAUAGAAAGAGAUAGUGCAAUUGAAGGAGCAACAGCAGCAGUUAGCGUUAUAAUACCCAAAGAAGAUGAUCAUAUGUUUCAGCAAAUGUUUGAAAAUAACCUUCCUGAUAUUUCAAAUUGUUUAAAACAACUUGAAAAUCAUUUAAUACAUCUUGAACACGAAAAAUUUAAUCUACUAUCCAAAAUUGAUCUUUGUAGACUACUUGCUAUCGAUAAAAUGGAUAAAUGGGUGAGCUGUAUGAGAACUGAGGUUGAAGAUAGAUUUGCAGAAGACAAAAAACUUCUAAAGCAAAUUCAAUUCGAUCUCGAAAAUUUAAAUAGCGAUGAUACAAAAGAUACAUUAAACGUUCUCUUAAAUGAAAAAGAAGCUCUUCUAUCAAAGAAAUUAUCUUUAGUUAGUCAUAAUUUUUCUGUUGGUGAAUUAAAACUUAUCGAAAGAGAAAUUAUACUUGAAGAGUAUCAUACUGAAGAAAUUGAUUGUUACACAAUCACGGCUUGUUGCUUAGGACCAGAUAAUCAUUUGUACAUACUCAUUGACAAAUAUAGAAGUUGGUAUUAUUUAAAGAUGGAGAGAUAUUAUCAUUUUUCAAUUUCUCUUUUUUUAGCAAAGGAUAAUAAAUCAAAGGUGUUCGUUAUCGAAAGGUAUAGCGCAGAUGGAAAACUUAUUGAAGAAGACUGGUCCUGCCAUCUAGAGGGCGACUAUAGAGGUUUGGCUCUUGAUUGCGAAGGAAAUAUGUACUUGUGCGACAAAACUGCAAUAAGAUUAGGCAGAACAGCAAACUGCAUUGUAAAGAUUUUAAAAAAUGGAACACUAAAAUCAAGAAUUCUACAAUUACCCGACAACGAAGAAUUAUCAACAGUUGCUGUUGACUCGACGGGAAUUUAUGUUGGUAUUGAUAGCGGUAUUACGAAAAGAAGUAUUGAAGAACACACAAUAAGAAUUUUGAAAUAUGAUCUACAAGCUAAAACCUUGAUGUGGCAUUUUCAAGAUCAAUCAUUUGGAUUAGGAAAAAUGUUUUCCAUUGAUGAUUAUUUAAUACUUACAAGAAUUCACGAUGAAAAGAUAGAAGUAAUUCAUCGUGAUAGUGGAGAGAAAAUAAAAAAUUUGAACUUUAAUUUUAAAGAAUCAGGCGAUUCUCCCGCUUGGCCUAGUUCAAUAGCUCCUCUUCCAAUGAAUUGUUUUAUUUCAGCAGUUCAAAAACUUAAACAAUUAUUCGUAUUUGACAAAGACUUGAAUGUUUUACAGAAGAUAUCACUAGAAAAGCAAAAUAUACCUGUGAGCGUUAUAACAUGGUCAAAUUUAGAAGGAAACUUUCUUCUGUUGCAUUAUAAUUGUAAAUUAGAUAGAAAGCGUUAUUUGUCAUUCAGAAAAAUUCUCUAUAAGUAAACUCUAUUAUUUAUACUUUAUUACUAAUUACUUAUUGAAAUAUUAUGGUUUAUCCUUUCAUGUUAUAAUGAAUAUUCAGAGAUUUUUG
rnacentral:misc_RNA from 1 species